rnacentral:rRNA from 1 species
AUUGAACGCUGGCGGCGGGCUUAACACAUGCAAGUCGAGCGGAGAUGAGGUGCUUGCACCUUAUCUUAGCGGCGGACGGGUGAGUAAUGCUUAGGAAUCUGCCUAUUAGUGGGGGACAACAUUCCGAAAGGAAUGCUAAUACCGCAUACGUCCUACGGGAGAAAGCAGGGGAUCUUCGGACCUUGCGCUAAUAGAUGAGCCUAAGUCGGAUUAGCUAGUUGGUGGGGUAAAGGCCUACCAAGGCGACGAUCUGUAGCGGGUCUGAGAGGAUGAUCCGCCACACUGGGCCUGAGACACGGCCCAGACUCCUACGGGAGGCAGCAGUGGGGAAUAUUGGACAAUGGGGGGAACCCUGAUCCAGCCAUGCCGCGUGUGUGAAGAAGGCCUUAUGGUUGUAAAGCACUUUAAGCGAGGAGGAGGCUACUGAGACUAAUACUCUUGGAUAGUGGACGUUACUCGCAGAAUAAGCACCGGCUAACUCUGUGCCAGCAGCCGCGGUAAGAC